rnacentral:rRNA from 1 species
UACGUAGGUGGCGAGCGUUGUCCGGAUUUACUGGGCGUAAAGCGUGCGCAGGCGGUUUCUUAAGUCAGAUGUGAAAGCCCCGGGCUUAACCUGGGAACUGCGUUUGAAACUGGGAGACUUGAGUGUGGCAGAGGGGGGUGGAAUUCCACGUGUAGCAGUGAAAUGCGUAGAUAUGUGGAGGAACACCAAUGGCGAAGGCAGCCCCCUGGGUCAACACUGACGCUCAUGCACGAAAGCGUGGGGAGCAAACAGG